rnacentral:rRNA from 1 species
AACGAACGCUGGCGGCAUGCCUAACACAUGCAAGUCGAACGAGACCUUCGGGUCUAGUGGCGCACGGGUGCGUAACGCGUGGGAACCUGCCCUUAGGCUCGGAAUAACUCCCCGAAAGGGGUGCUAAUACCGGAUAAUGUCUUCGGACCAAAGAUUUAUCGCCCUUGGAUGGGCCCGCGUUGGAUUAGCCGGUUGGUAGGGUAAAAGCCUACCAAGGCUACGAUCCAUAGCUGGUCAGAGAGGAUGAUCAGCCACACUGAGACUGAGACGCGGCCCAGACUCCUACGGGAGGCAGCAGUGGGGGAUAUUGGAAAAUGGGCGAAAGCCUGAACCAGCAAGGCCGCGUAAGUGAUGAAGGCCGUAGGGUUGUAAAGCUGUUUUACCCGGGAUGAUAAUGACGGUACCGGGAGAAUAAGCUCCGGCUAACUCCGUG